rnacentral:rRNA from 1 species
GGCGGCGUGCUUACACAUGCAAGUCGAACGAGAACGGAUAUUAGCUUGCUAAUAUUGUCAGCUAAGUGGCGCACGGGUGAGUAAUAUAUAGAUAACGUGCCUUCAAGAGGGGGAUAACAGUUGGAAACGACUGCUAAUACCCUAUAUGCCUUUAUAUCAAAAGAUAGCAAGGGAAAUAUUUAUAGCUUGAAGAUCGGUCUGUACAGUAUCAGUUAGUUGGUGAGGUAAUGGCUCACCAAGACAAUGACGCUUAACUGGUUCGAGAGGAUGAUCAGUCACACUGGAACUGAGACACGGUCCAGACUCCUACGGGAGGCAGCAGUGGGGAAUAUUGCACAAUGGAGGAAACUCUGAUGCAGCAACGCCGAGUGGAGGAUGACACAUUUCGGUGCGUAAACUCCUUUUAUAUUUGAAGAUAAUGACGGUAAAAUAUGAAUAAGCUCCGGCUAACUCCGUGCCAGCAGCCGCGGUAAUACGGGGGGAGCAAGCGUUACUCGGAAUCACUGGGCGUAAAGAGCAUGUAGGCUGGUANAAAAGUUGGAAGUGAAAUCCUAUGGCUUAACCAUAGAACUGCUUCCAAAACUCUCUACCUAGAAUAUGGGAGAGGUAGAUGGAAUUUCUGGUGUAGGGGUAAAAUCCGUAGAGAUCAGAAGGAAUACCGAUUGCGAAGGCGAUCUACUGGAACAUUAUUGACGCUGAGAUGCGAAAGCGUGGGGAGCAAACAGGAUUAGAUACCCUGGUAGUCCACGCCCUAAACGAUGUACACUAGUUGUUGCUAUACUACAUAUAGCAGUAAUGCAGUUAACACAUUAAGUGUACCGCCUGGGGAGUACGGUCGCAAGAUUAAAACUCAAAGGAAUAGACGGGGACCCGCACAGCGGUGGACCAUGUGGUUAAUUCGACGAUAC